rnacentral:rRNA from 1 species
AGAGAGAGACAUGCGCGCAUAUCAAUAAGCGGAGGAAAAGAAACUAACAAGGAUUCCCCUAGUAACGGCGAGUGAAGCGGGAAGAGCUCAAAUUUGAAAUCUUAAAGGGUUUCCCUUUACGAAUUGUAGUUUAAAGAAGUGUUUUCUGUUGAGGUUUUGGUAAAAGUUCUUUGGAAUAGGACAUCAUAGAGGGUGAGAAUCCCGUAUUUGACCAUUACUUUCCAACUUUGUGAUACACUUUCAAAGAGUCGGAUUGUUUGGGAAUGCAGUCCAAAAUGGGUGGUAAAUUUCAUCUAAAGCUAAAUAUUGGCGAGAGACCGAUAGCGAACAAGUACCGUGAGGGAAAGAUGAAAAGAACUUUGAAAAGAGAGUUAAACAGUACGUGAAAUUGUCAAAAGGGAAGCGUUUGACACCAGUGUUGUUUUUCUGAAAAUCAAUUAAAGAACUGUUUAUGCUAAGUUGUUUAGACUUUAUCAGCUAACUGUUUAGUUUUGAGCUUUUCUUUAAUGCACUUUUCAGUUAACAAGUCAACAUCAAUUUCUUUUGCUGUAAAAAAGCUUGAGGAAGGUGGCUUGAGAUUCGUCUUAAGUGUUUAUAGCCUCUUGCCUAUGCAGUCGGAGAGAUUGAGGUCUGCAGCGUAGAUCCUUCGGGGCUAAAUGCAUUUGUGCUAAGUUAUAGCAUUUUAUAGACAACUUGUUGACUAUGAUUUGUCUUGUAGCUUACUCGCUUAUGUUAUUUUACCUACGCUUAGGAUGUUGAGCGCAUGUCUCUCUC